GAAAUGGUUAAUGAAAUCUGAGCUAAGGAGGGCCUGUUGGCCCUGACACAAAGUCAUCCUUAAUAAAAACCACAUCAGAGGAAAAUCUGCAGCUCAUAACAGAUAUCUAACACCCCCUCCUCCAUAACACUCAGGGGUGUUGGAAUCUGGUUAGGAGAAUCAAACUAGGUACCAUAAAAGAUUCUCAUCCCAUUUAUUUUUCUUCGAUGAAUACUAAAAUGUAACUGAAUUAUUGGGUUUUCCUUAUUUUACUCAAAAGAAUCAAAGUGCUCCCAAGGUUGUGGUCUAGUAGUACUGCUGGAAAUAUGGAUGAUUUUCCCAACGUUUUGUGUGGGUGGAGCUGGGAGGAGAACAAGUUGUUUGAGCUGGCUUUGGCAGUGGUUGAUGAACAGGACCGAAAUCGGUGGGAAGUGGUUGCAGCCAUGGUUGGGGGCAACAAAAGUGCAGAGGAUGUCCAGAAACAUUAUGUGACCCUUUUGGAGGAUUUGCAGAUUAUAGAAUCUGGAAAGCUGGACCAUAAACUGGGGGAAACUCAGCCCUGUGUGGAAGUUGAUUCUCAAUCCAUAUGUUGGAGUGAUGAAGAUAACACCCUGCUCGUUAGAUUAGACAUAAACUGAUGUUUGCAACCAACGGUGGGCUAUUUACCGAAGCAGAGCGGUUUCUCUACGAGUCUACAGAAACAUGUUCAGUGAGAACACAGAGCUUGCCUAAACACAGCUGCUGGUUAUGGAAAUGAAUUUAAAUCAUUGUUCAUCAA